CCAUCUCUCACCAGUUAUCAGAGACAUGUAAUGCCACCGUCUCUCCACCGCAACCGCCGGCCGGAAACCGCCUCCGGCGGCGGAAAUCACCCAAAUACCACCAAAAUUACACCAUCUAUUCCCCUCAACCUCCUCUAUCCAAAUCCAUGUCUGGUGUCCCUCAAAUAUCGGCCAAACAUCUCGAAUAUCCAUUUGAAACACGGACUCUGCCGCCGUGCACGGCGGCGCCACCGCCAAUCGUCCCGAAAUUAACACUCCAAACCCACCAUAGCACCCUCUGUCCAAAUAACCAACUCCUCACCAUCGAAUCCCCUCCCAAUUGUUCGAAUCUCAAACCAGAGGAAAUAUUCUAAUUUUACCAAGCUGGAAUCCAAUGGGGGUUUUUGACGUUUCUAGGCUAUAAUGGCCUUUAAGCAUGUAUUUUCACGCGAAAGCACCUGAUUAGAGACUGUUCUUGUCAAGAAAUAUAGUGGAGGCUUGCAAGUCACUCCGAGUAUGUCCCCACUUUAGGUAAUUCUCUGUUUCUUUUGGUUUUUCUUGCAUUUUCACUUUUUUUUCGUCAUCUGUUUCUUCCUAUUCUUCUGAAUUCCUUAAGUGUUUUAGGGUUGUUUUUUUAUGCAUGAUUAGUUUAAGGAAAUUUUCACCUUUAGUUAAAUUGGUUUUAAUCAUUAUGUUUAUUAGUCAAUUUUGUUAGCAACCUUAAGUUUAAUAUCUGAAUAAAGAAAAAAGGGCUGAUUUGUUUACAUUUCUCUGCUUGUUGAAUGUUGGUUUGACUGUGUUUGGUCUGAAGGUUAAUGCCUUUCAGUUCAGGUUCUGGCCUAGUUGUCCAGUAGGUUCGACCCGGGGUCAAUUUGACCCACAACCCACUUAAGUGCAAUGUAAUUACAGGGGUACUGUGAGGUUAGUUUAUGUAUUUGGGGUUGGGGAAUCUUUCAUAACAGAUUUAGAAACUUCUAGGGUAGGAGUUAAUUUUAUUUUUCUGGUUUUUAGAUAACUAACUUGGGGGACAAGCCAGAAAAUAAAGGAUCAAGUAGCAAAAAGCAAAAUCUGAAAAGGAUUAAUUUGAAAUAAAUAAACCUGUAAGGUUGCCUUACUGGCCUUGCCUAUAAAUUCAUGUUCUCUUGCUUUGAAAGACAGCUUUUUGGAUAUUAAGAAAAGAUAGACUAAUGUUUUUGGGCUGAGAGCACACACAAAUAGUUUUAGACUAGAAAAUACAAGAAGAGUAGCUACUCACUGAGUAUUACAUAUGCUCUAAAAAUCAGAAAUGUUGAAAAAAUCCUACUGUUCCAUUGCAUUUUGCUCCAAUAUUUGUAACUUGGAUUAAGGUGUCGUAGUUUCAGUUUGGUUGGGUUUGAUUUUUGCUGUUUUUCAUCUCAAUUUCUAGAAUUAAAAAUUAUUUGCAUUUGAAGUUGUGGCCGAAUUUGGCUGUUGCUGACUUACUUCUGCUGCUUCACCCUUAACUUCGAGCUAAUAUUUGGUUUCCUUUGCUUAUCAUCCAGGUAUUCAUCUCAUCUCACAGUUUACAAAAUGGAUGAAUGUGAAGAUUGGUUCACCUGAAUAUAAUUAACACAUUUGCUCAUUUAAUCCUUCUAUACUUGCAUAACUGCUGGCCUAGUUUAAUUUUUUCGCAUUUGUUCUAUACAUGGACUGAUGUAGUAAUGUAUUGUAAGUAGUAUUAUGACUGGACUGUCCGGACUUGUAUGAUUUUAUACCAUCGAACCCUAUUUACUUUACCUCAUUUAUGCUGGCGAUAGUCUUCUGAUUAGUUUCAAGUUAUAAACUUGUAGUUCAAUUGUAUGUGUAAAAUCAACUCUGCAAGCUUGUGAGUUUUUUCUUUUAUGUUAGUUCAAGUAGCUGUUUAGAUUUAUUGGGUUUAAGGCAAAUGUCUAUUGCUUAAAGUUGUG
rnacentral:lncRNA from 1 species